rnacentral:rRNA from 1 species
UACGGGGGGGGCAAGCGUUGUUCGGAAUUACUGGGCGUAAAGGGCUCGUAGGCGGCCAACUAAGUCAGAUGUGAAAUCCCCAGGCUUAACCUGGGAACUGCAUCUGAUACUGGAUGGCUUGAAUCCGGGAGAGGGAUGCAGAAUUCCAGGUGUAGCGGUGAAAUGCGCAGAUAUCAGGAGGAACACCGGUGGCGAAGGCGGGUCUCUGGGCCGAUACUGACGCUGAGGAGCGAAAGCCAGGGGAGCAAACGGG